rnacentral:rRNA from 1 species
GAUGAACGCUGGCGGCGUGCCUAAUACAUGCAAGUCGAGCGAACAGAUGAGGAGCUUGCUCCUCUGACGUUAGCGGCGGACGGGUGAGUAACACGUGGAUAACCUACCUAUAAGACUGGGAUAACUUCGGGAAACCGGAGCUAAUACCGGAUAAUAUAUUGAACCGCAUGGUUCAAUAGUGAAAGACGGUUUUACUGUCACUUAUAGAUGGAUCCGCGCCGCAUUAGCUAGUUGGUAAGGUAACGGCUUACCAAGGCAACGAUGCGUAGCCGACCUGAGAGGGUGAUCGGCCACACUGGAACUGAGACACGGUCCAGACUCCUACGGGAGGCAGCAGUAGGGAAUCUUCCGCAAUGGGCGAAAGCCUGACGGAGCAACGCCGCGUGAGUGAUGAAGGUCUUCGGAUCGUAAAACUCUGUUAUUAGGGAAGAACAAAUGUGUAAGUAACUAUGCACGUCUUGACGGUACCGAAUCAGAAAGCCACGGCUAACUACGU